rnacentral:rRNA from 1 species
AGCUCCAAUAGCAUAUAUCAAAGUUGUUGCGGUUAAAAAGCUCGUAGUUGGAUUUCUGUCGAGAACGCGCGGUCCACGCUUUGCGUGAGUAUCUGUGUCGGUCUUGGCAUCCUCUAAAGGAUCGUUUCUGCGCUUGAUUGCGUGGAGCGGAACUUUAGACUUUUACUUUGAGGAAAUUAGAGUGUUCACGGCAGGCAAACGCCUUGAAUACAUUAGCAUGGAAUAAUAACAUAGGGCCUUGGUUCUAUUUUGUUGGUUUGAGGGACUGGAGUAAUGAUUAAUAGGGAUAGUUGGGGGCAUUAGUAUUUAAUUGUCAGAGGUGAAAUUCUCAGAUUAACUAAAGACUAACUUAUGCGAAAGCAUUUGCCAAGGAUGUUUUCA